AUUGAACGCUGGCGGUAGGCCUAACACAUGCAAGUCGAACGGCAGCACAGUAAGAGCUUGCUCUUACGGGUGGCGAGUGGCGGACGGGUGAGGAAUACAUCGGAAUCUACUUUUUCGGGGGGGAUAACGUAGGGAAACUUACGCUAAUACCGCAUACGACCUACGGGUGAAAGCAGGGGAUCUUCGGACCUUGCGCGAUUGAAUGAGCCGAUGUCGGAUUAGCUAGUUGGCGGGGUAAAGGCCCACCAAGGCGACGAUCCGUAGCUGGUCUGAGAGGAUGAUCAGCCACACUGGAACUGAGACACGGUCCAGACUCCUACGGGAGGCAGCAGUGGGGAAUAUUGGACAAUGGGCGCAAGCCUGAUCCAGCCAUACCGCGUGUGUGAAGAAGGCCUUCGGGUUGUAAAGCCCUUUUGUUGGGAAAGAAAAGCAGAAGGUUAAUACCCCGCUGUUCUGACGGUACCCAAAGAAUAAGCACCGGCUAACUUCGUG
rnacentral:rRNA from 1 species